AUUGAACGCUGGCGGCAUGCCUUACACAUGCAAGUCGAACGGCAGCACGGGUGCUUGCACCUGGUGGCGAGUGGCGAACGGGUGAGUAAUACAUCGGAACAUGUCCUGUAGUGGGGGAUAGCCCGGCGAAAGCCGGAUUAAUACCGCAUACGAUCUACGGAUGAAAGCGGGGGACCUUCGGGCCUCGCGCUAUAGGGUUGGCCGAUGGCUGAUUAGCUAGUUGGUGGGGUAAAGGCCUACCAAGGCGACGAUCAGUAGCUGGCCUGAGAGGACGACCAGCCACACUGGGACUGAGACACGGCCCAGACUCCUACGGGAGGCAGCAGUGGGGAAUUUUGGACAAUGGGCGAAAGCCUGAUCCAGCAAUGCCGUGUGUGUGAAGAAGGCCUUCGGGUUGUAAAGCACUUUUGUCCGGAAAGAAAUCCUUGGCCCUAAUACGGUCGGGGGAUGACGGUACCGGAAGAAUAAGCACCGGCUAACUACGUG
rnacentral:rRNA from 1 species